rnacentral:tRNA from 1 species
GCCCCCAAGGCUUAGAUAGCGAAGCGGCGGUAUCGUAAACCGUAGAGCGCGGCGCAAAUCCGCGUGGGGGCUCCA